GGCGAACGGGUGAGUAAUACAUCGGAACGUGCCCGGUAGUGGGGGAUAGCCCGGCGAAAGCCGGAUUAAUACCGCAUACGACCUACGGGUGAAAGCGGGGGACCGCAAGGCCUCGCGCUAUCGGAGCGGCCGACGUCGGAUUAGCUUGUUGGUGGGGUAAAGGCCUACCAAGGCGACGAUCCGUAGCUGGUCUGAGAGGACGACCAGCCACACUGGGACUGAGACACGGCCCAGACUCCUACGGGAGGCAGCAGUGGGGAAUUUUGGACAAUGGGCGCAAGCCUGAUCCAGCCAUGCCGCGUGCGGGAAGAAGGCCUUCGGGUUGUAAACCGCUUUUGUCAGGGAAGAAACGCUUCGGGCUAAUACCUCGGAGUAAUGACGGUACCUGAAGAAUAAGCACCGGCUAACUACGUGCCAGCAGCCGCGGUAAUACGUAGGGUGCGAGCGUUAAUCGGAAUUACUGGGCGUAAAGCGUGCGCAGGCGGUUGUGCAAGACAGAUGUGAAAUCCCCGGGCUUAACCUGGGAACUGCAUUUGUGACUGUGCGACUGGAGUGCGGCAGAGGGGGAUAGAAUUCC
rnacentral:rRNA from 1 species